rnacentral:sRNA from 1 species
CUGGUCUUUUGGGUUGGAUUUUUCUUUUGUACAAAAGUUCAAAAAGUUGGCUUUUUGUGUUUGAGAGUUAGAUUAAAAAAGCUAUGCAAAGUGAUUCCUUUUUCACUUACACAGAAUGGCCACUUCAGAAAUGCUUGAAGAUUAUUCAAUCACAGGAUAUAACAUGUUCAAAUUAUAGUGACAUUACAGAUAAGAAUAGACUUGAAGAUGGAAGAUGUGACUGAGAAAAACACUAUCUGUAACAGUAGCAGGCAUACGUACACUGACAGUAUGGUGGUCUGAAAGAAACCUUUCUUCUUGAAGUUCCAAACAAGGACAACAGAAGCAGAAUGAGUACGAGGAGUAUGAGUGCGACAAAAGGUGAGCUAUAGUUGGUUUCUUCUUCUUCUGGUUCACCUGAAAAGAGCUUCGGUGCAGACAGAAGAAUCAAGGCCAGGACCAAGAUCAGAACAACAUUGGGAGUACGAGCAUCACAAGGUCUUGGUUUAUGAACGUAGUAGUAACCCAUUGAAUCCCUGAGAAAAUAACACAGAAAUGAAGGAUUUUUAUGGAGAAAGAGAUUCAGAAUGAUAAAGUCAAAAGGAACAUGAAGAAGGAAAAUAUUGUAGUUGGUAUUAUUUGUCAUCCACACACAAUUUGGUACGUAUUUAGUGUUUUAAUAAUAUCUAUGAGGCUGUCAAAUUCCGUCAGAAUGACGAUAUUAUCAUCACAGACCAAAUAGUGGGGUCAUCGACUACCACCUAUUCAUGAUUUUCAAUUUCUCACAAACAAUUCCGUUUGAAACGAAAGAGUAGCUCUUUAUAUCAGAUUCAGUUCAACCAAAUAGAU